GAAAUGCGAUAAGUAAUGUGAAUUGCAGAAUUCAGUGAAUCAUCGAAUCUUUGAACGCACCUUGCGCUCCUUGGUAUUCCUUGGAGCAUGCCUGUUUGAGUAUCAUGAAAUCUUCAAAGUAAAUCUUUUGUUAACUCAAUUGGUUUCUACUUUGGUAUUGGAGGUCUUUGCAGCUUCACACCUGCUCCUCUUUGUUCAUUAGCUGGAUCUCAGUGUUAUGCUUGGUUCCACUCGGCGUGAUAAGUUAUCUAUCGCUGAGGACACUGUAAAAGGUGGCCAAGGUAAAUGCAGAUGAACCGCUUCUAAUAGUCCAUUGACUUGGACAAUACUUUUAUGAUCUGACCUCGGAUCAGGUAGGGAUACCCGCUGAACUUAAGC
rnacentral:misc_RNA from 1 species